UUUUUCCUCUUCUGGAUGUUCCUCUAAGUUCUUGGAGCAAGAGCUUGGAAGGAUAGGAAACCUGUCUCCUGGGUCUGAGCAAAUGGUUCAUCAAAACAGCAUCACCAGACUCCCUUCCAGCUUCCAGCUUCAACAUCUAUCCCUGUCUCCCAAGACCCAUGGAAGCUGGACUUGGCCAGAUGUCAAAAGAUGAUGCCAAAACAGCUGCAGAUGGGAAAGAAGGCGGCGUGGACAGACUCCAGGAUGCACAUCUGAAACAGGCUCUUCAUUUUGUUUUCACUACAGGCUCCUGUUUCGCCUUUUCAAAAAGCAGUUGAAAUUUCCCUUACUUCUUGGAAAUCCAGAAAUACAGCAAAGAUACAUUUUAUAUAGGCGUUAGCUAUUCAGCAGGAGGGAGCUUGAAAAUAUCUCUAUACUCUACGAUUUUCCACCAUGCUGCCUGGAAGUGAAAGUCUAGCCAAACAGUUUAACAGGAAAACCAUUAGCCGUCCUGUGGAGGUUAAUUUUGCAGUUUAUUUUGGAAUGGAAAAAAAGCACGUAUUAAGAUAGGAAACUCAUGUCUACAUGCUAGAAUCUAAAUUUCUUAACUUUCUGUAGUAUGAGCCAUUUUCAAAUCUGGUAAAGUCAUAAAACCAGACUAUUCAAAACGCACACUUCUAAGCUCAAUAUUAAAUGUUUAAAGUGACUAACGUAAGAGUUGGAGAGUCAGGAUCCCCCUGGACUUUUCGAACUUCUACCCUCACAAAGAAAUCUAGAGUUUCUUCUCAGUAAAAAAAAAACCAAAAGUGACAUAUAAUCAUUUUUCCUUGUUAGUAAAUAAUCUCUAUCCAUCAUGGCAUUGCAUUUAAUUUGUGUUAAUUAUUCCCCCAAACUUUGGGGGAAUUGCCCAAAUAUAACACGGGGCUGAAAUAUUGGACAGCCAAAAAUAUCACCCAUGUUCAAAAUAUGCAUCGUGAUAUCAUUCAGUUCGACGUGUUCUAGUUCUUCCGCAGCCUCCUGCCUCGUUCCCUUUGCCC
rnacentral:lncRNA from 1 species